rnacentral:tRNA from 1 species
ACUUUCAAAGGACAAAAGACUGCCCAUCAGCCUUAGGAGCUGACACUCUUGGUGCAACUCCAAGUGAAAGUA